CUAACCCAUCAGACCCAGUAGGAGGGAAACAACUCUAUAUUUUUCCACCUUUACUGGCAGUAACUAAUCCCCUUGGGAGUAAAAAUGUCAAUUGGCAACUAAGAAAAUUCUGAAGGAGGGAUAUAUAUUUUACACCUGAGUUAACUUUUUUACGCUGCAAAGGCAGAAGUUUUCUUCUCUGUCUAACGACUUGUAACUUAAUAAUAACAUAAACACACUGUGUUUAACAUUCGUCUUUCAUGUUUACAACGUGCUGUGAAGAAGUCAACCUGUCCAUCCCAAACCAACCCUUCUAAGAAGCCUCAAAUCAUCCAGAGUCCCUCCUGCUCUGUCAGCUCCUCCAUGGAACCCAACACCCAGUCUGGCCAGUUGUACUUUAAACUCACCUUUGAUCAUCCUUUGUCCUCCACUCCUCUGGCCGCCAUCCUGGUCAAGUCCCAUUUCCUCUUGCCCAGAUGAUGACCACAGGUGCUGGUCUCCACUGACCACACAUUCCUCUGCAGGACCAUGAGACUUCUCUUUCCAAAUCACCUCUGAUUCUGUCAUUUCUCAGACCCACCUGAACUGCGGGCAUCCUCAAUGACUCCAGUCACCAAACUCUUCAGCCUUUUGUGGCUCGGGGCCUCUUCACAUUUUUUCCCCUUCCUGGGAUGCUCUAUGCACUCCCUACCUCUCUCCUCCUGAAAAGUCUCUGUCAGUCCUUCAAGGCCCAAGUCAUAUCGUUCUCUCACCAAGUUCCAGACCACCAAAGUCCUGUCUCUAUUGGUGGCUGUCAUCACAGGCUGUUAGGAUUUUAAAUCCACCUGUUGGCUCCCCUGAUGGAGGUGAUCUGCUUAGGGGCAGGCAUCAGAUGGUAUUUUAUGCUGAACCCCAGUACGGUGCCUGCCACUUGGAUACUUAAGGUGUUCUAAAUUUAAGGUGUGUGUUUGUUUUUCAUAUCCUCAGUUAGCUAAACAGAUAGUUGGCAAUGAUACGUCCAUUUCACCAAAUUUUUCUUUCAUUCAGAGCCAGCAAGCGGUAUAUCUCUGUCUCUUUUCCACAAGAAACUUGCUCCAGCCUGGGCAAUAUGACAAAACCCUUUAACUACAAAAAUUUCAAAAAAAUUAGCCCUUUCUCCCCACAUUUUGCCAUCAAACCCUAUCAAUUCCACCUCUUAAGCAUCUCCAAGUUCCAUCCUCACUGCGAUAGUAACCUCUGUGCAAACCUAUAUCAUUGCUCUGUUGGAUUUUUGCAGUUAGAAAACUUGCAUUAAUUGCUUCCCCUUUCUCCAUUUGUACAAGUCAGGCCCCACCAGGGAAAUGGAGACACUCUAAGUAUAUUAUCAGUGAUCUCCAGAGAAACAGAACCAAUAAUAGAUAGAUGAUAGACAGAUAGAUAGAUGAUAGAUAGAUAGAUAGAUAGAUAGAUAGAUAGAUAGAUAGAUAGAGGUCUAGAUACACAAGCAGAGAUUUAUUAUGAUACUUGGCCUACACGAUUAUGGAAGCCUAGAAGUCCCAUAAUAUGCUGUCUGCAAGCCAGAGACCCAGGAAAGCCGGUGGUGUAAUUCAGUCUGAGUCUGAAAGCCUGAGAACCAGGAGAAGACAGAUGUCCCAACUCAAGAACAGAGAUGGAAAAUUUGCACUUCCUUUUUGUUCUGUUCAUGCUCUCAUCAGAUUGGAUGACGCCUGCCUACAUUGAAUCCCAGAACUACAUAGCCCAGCCCCUGUAUCUGUGAUGAUGCUGAUCAAUAUAACAGCCACUAGCCAUACGUGGCUUUUAUACAGCAGUUGAAAUGUGGAGUCCAAAUUGAGAUGUGCUGUGAGCAUGAAAUUGAUCCUGGAUUUCAAAGGCUUACUAUGAAAACGAGAAUGUAAAAUAUUCAUUGAUACCUUUUAAAAGUCGUGAUGAUAUAUUGAAAUAACAUUUUGGAUCUGUUAUGUUAAAUAAAAGAUAUUUAAAUAAAUUA
rnacentral:lncRNA from 10 species